GUGCCAGCAGCCGCGGUAAUACGUAGGCAGCAAGCGUUGUUCGGAAUUACUGGGCGUAAAGAGUGUGUAGGCGGUGUUCUAAGUUUGUCGUGAAAUCUCCCGGCUUAACUGGGAGGGUGCGGCGAAAACUGGAAUGCUAGAGGAUGGGAGAGGUAAGCGGAAUUCCUGGUGUAGCGGUGAAAUGCGUAGAUAUCAGGAGGAACACCUGUGGUGUAGACAGCUUACUGGACCAUUUCUGACGCUGAGACACGAAAGCGUGGGUAGCAAACAGGAUUAGAUACCCUGGUAGUCC
rnacentral:rRNA from 1 species